GCGACCCCAGUCAGGCGGUACCCGUG
rnacentral:rRNA from 1 species